rnacentral:rRNA from 1 species
AACGAACGCUGGCGGCAGGCUUAACACAUGCAAGUCGAGCGCCCCGCAAGGGGAGCGGCAGACGGGUGAGUAACGCGUGGGAACGUACCCUUUGCUACGGAAUAGCUCCGGGAAACUGGAAUUAAUACCGUAUGUGCCCUACGGGGGAAAGAUUUAUCGGCAAAGGAUCGGCCCGCGUUGGAUUAGCUAGUUGGUGGGGUAAUGGCCUACCAAGGCGACGAUCCAUAGCUGGUCUGAGAGGAUGAUCAGCCACAUUGGGACUGAGACACGGCCCAAACUCCUACGGGAGGCGGCAGUGGGGAAUAUUGGACAAUGGGCGCAAGCCUGAUCCAGCCAUGCCGCGUGAGUGAUGAAGGCCUUAGGGUUGUAAAGCUCUUUCACCGGAGAAGAUAAUGACGGUAUCCGGAGAAGAAGCCCCGGCUAACUUCGUGCCAGCCGCCGCAGUAAGAC